AUUGAACGCUGGCGGCAGGCCUAACACAUACAAGUCGAGCGGUAGCACAGAGAGCUUGCUCUCGGGUGACGAGCGGCGGACGGGUGAGUAAUGUCUGGGAAACUGCCUGAUGGAGGGGGAUAGCUACUGGAAACGGUAGCUAAUACCGCAUAACGUCGCAAGACCAAAGAGGGGGACCUUCGGGCCUCUUGCCAACAGAUGUGCCCAGAUGGGAUUAGCUAGUAGGUGGGGUAACGGCUCACCUAGGCGACGAUCCCUAGCUGGUCUGAGAGGAUGACCAGCCACACUGGAACUGAGACACGGUCCAGACUCCUACGGGAGGCAGCAGUGGGGAAUAUUGCACAAUGGGCGCAAGCCUGAUGCAGCCAUGCCGCGUGUAUGAAGAAGGCCUUCGGGUUGUAAAGUACUUUCAGCGGGGAGGAAGGCGAUAAGGUUAAUAACCUUGUCGAUUGACGUUACCCGCAGAAGAAGCACUGGCUAACUCCGUGCCAGCCGCCGCAGUAA
rnacentral:rRNA from 1 species